CCCUUAGAUGUCCUGGGCCGCACGCGCGCUACACUGAGUGUCUGAGAUACGAGUCUGCCUGGUCCGGCAAGUUCUAGGUAAUCGCUAAAAGACACAUCAUGCUUGGGAUAGAUUAUUGCAAAUAUUAAUCUUGAACGAGGAAUUCCUAGUAAGCGCAAGUCAACAGCUUGCGUUGAUUACGUCCCUGCCCUUUGUACACACCGCCCGUCGCUACUACUGAUUGGAUGUUUAAGCGAGGUUCUCGAACUGCUAGCGACUUAGCUUCGGUGAGGUCGCAGUGUGGGAAGUGAACCUAGCUUUGGUGUCUAGAGGAAGUAAAAGUCGUAACA
rnacentral:rRNA from 1 species